ACGAAACAACGGCUGCCGACCUCCGCGUCUCUCGGCAGAUUUUUCUGCAAGCUGACGAAUGCACGUUCGUGCACUCGUACCAACACUCUCUUCACUGGCGAUCGUUGCGGUGGUUACGCAGUUGACAAGUGCUGCAUAGGCUCACAGGCUGCAGCGUGCGCCAUUUUCUUUCCUCGUGAACGUGCGUGCUUUUCCGAAGCUUGUUCGUGUUUCUCGAUGGUUCUGGAGGCCGUGGGACCAUUGUUAACAAGUUUGCUUUCGAAGCCUCGAACUAUUGAUUCUGCGGUCGCUUCCCAGAGUGACGGGCUUCGAGAUUGAUGACCCGCUUGUUAUUGGACACCUCAAUAAUGGACCGCAACGUGACCUUACCACAGAAAAAAGGAUCUUUAGUGGCCGUUUCUCUACGCACGUCGAAAACAUCCCAUUUGAUUUUUCUAAGAUACAGAAUGUUGUCCAGAAUCGCCAGAUCUUGAUGUCACCCAUGCAAACGAGUCUUCUGGCGUCAAAAGACUGAGGCGAAGGCUCCUUAAACUGCCAAGUGAACCCCGUAGGAACACAGUUAUCGACCUAAGCUCCGGCAACAGAACCAACUACUACUACAAUGAGCUCCACAGGUCAAGUAGCUACGUCAGCACUGACGUUUCGUGACACUAAUUCCGUAGUUUUUCUAAGUAUGUCAAAGGAUAGCAUCCAGGUGGCAUCACUACAGCUGUACCAUUAGUAUCAUCUUGACAAACCGCUUACGUAAAGCGACAAUUUCUCUUUCUUGCACAUGUUUUUCUGAGUUAACAAUUGACACUUCGCACGUGAGCGAGAUUAAUAACUGAUCAAACCUAAUACUGCGUGUGAAUACCUGUUUUACUUGUUACUGAUUCUAGAUCUUGAGUUUAUUCCCAAUGUAUUGAUGUUGUUGGUACAAAAAUUUCAUUCCGCAUUGCUAUGCACUAUGGCUUAUGUUUUGUGUGUUGUUUGGGAUGGCCUUGUAUUAUCUACAUAAACUGCACUUGUAUUCACGUAACCAUGUGCUAGAAAGUGUUCUGUGAAAUAAAUUGUUGAAAAUA